rnacentral:rRNA from 1 species
UACGUAGGGACCAAGCGUUGUUCGGAUUUACUGGGCGUAAAGGGCGCGUAGGCGGCGCGGUAAGUCACUUGUGAAAUCUCUGAGCUUAACUCAGAACGGCCAAGUGAUACUGCAGUGCUAGAGUGUGGAAGGGGCAAUCGGAAUUCUUGAUGUAGCGGUGAAAUGCGUAGAUAUCAAGAGGAACACCUGAGGUGAAGACGGGUUGCUGGGCCAACACGUGACGCUGAUGCGCGAAAGCCAGGGGAGCAAACGGG